rnacentral:rRNA from 1 species
GCGACGUCGCCCCUGUGCUGGAACCCUACAAUGUCUGUGGGGGACCAGCACCCAGUUUUCUGGUCCACAGAUUAGGUGGUGGCGGUCUCAGGCUUUGAUGCUNGGGAUCAAGAUAUAAUCGGUCUCCAUAGCCAUGACUGUGGUUGCGAAACGUUCC